CGCUUCUCGGCCUGCUGUUACGGGCUGAAAAACAACCAUGUGCCCUAUGGCUGCUUAGGACACGGCCACCCUUUCCUCUGGCUGCUUCUCCAGCUUACACAGACUAGUAAAAUAAUUUUUUGCAUGAGAAGGAGGCAUGAGAGACAUGAUUUUCACCUGAGAGACAUGGCCUCAGCUGCAGCCUAAGCACCUGCAUAGCCAUGUUUUCCACAGGCAGGGACAGAGCCGAGCCAGGGAAGGCUGAGCAGUGCCUCAGGCCACACAGCGAAGUUAUGAAACAAAAACAAUGACCUGCUUGAAAAUCAGUCUGAAAUACAGCAACCUGCAACUUCUGCUCAGCUCAAACAAACAAAAACAAGGGUUAGCAUUAUACAAUGCAGUGGCAGGGAGGAAGUGGCCAGCAACAAUAUCAACCAAUUUAUGCAGUCAUUCACAUUUGUUAUCAAUACUAGAUUGCUUCCCUGUAGACUUUCUUCCUCAUCAGGCACCUAUUUCAAUUAUAUUACAAUUUCCUCUCAGCUUCAAGUUGGACAAAAGCUUUUCAAAGCUAGCUGUUUAAAAGUGGAAAACUAUUCUCUUCAGCACGGUUUAGGGAAAAUAAUGCUACUUGUGCUACAGCGUAUUAGCAAUAUACCACUAGGAACUGCACUUAGCAAGAAAAGCUAGUGACCAAAAUACAUCCUUGGGACGCCCAGAGCAUGUGGCUCCUUGUGGCUGCUGCUUCCAAAAGGGAAGCACAGGGCAGCCAGCACCCUGCUGCCACCCCUGCCUCCACCAUGCCCCUUCCACAGCAGAAGGCCUGUAGCAUCACUCUCUGGUUCUCAGAACUGCUGAUAUUCCUGAUUUUAUGUGCACCUGCAGUUGGCUAUUAUUUAGACAGCUUUUGUAUUAUUACAGGGUAGCCAUGACUGACCUCACCGUAAGCACUGCUGAGCAGCUGAGAAAUUCACUGGACAAACAUAAACACACUAUGCAUGGUUUUCGAGCAGUAUUUCACUGGAAGAAAACAAGGCCAAGCUAAUCAGGACUCCACGAGGCACAAUGGGGAAAGAAGCCAGCUGGCAGCAGACCCAAACGUGAGUGCAUCCCACUAUUCACAGAAGAUGGGAACAAAUGUGCAUGCAUCCACUGUACAAUAGAAAUAAUCUUCAAAGUUUGACCGGGCUGUAGCACAGCCAGAGGUUGGAAUUACACUCACAUGACUGUAGGACUUACAGCACAGGUGAGCCCCAAGAGCCUGAUGAAUUCAACCUCAGAGGAAAAGAUGUUUUCAAUCUGUGUAACUACAGAGUUGCAGAUAAUCUUCAGGCUAACAGAAUUCCGCAAUUCCUUGCACAAAAGCAUCAAACUCUUUAGAUUUAACCUUGAGCUAAUGUCAGUACUAACCCAGACAACGUGCAGCUGCGUAACAACAAUUUAAAUUCAAAACUCAGAAGCAAAGAAUGUUAUACUGACACAGUGCACGUUAUCAAGUAUUCCAUGUUAGAUGUCUCACAGACUGUUACUAGAUUUGUGUUGCUUUCUUUUUUUUUUUUCUCCCCUCCUCAGCUGAGAUUUUCUGUUUUUGGUAAUAUUUCACUAACAGGAAGGUUGAGGACUGUAUGCCAAUAUAUGCACUUGCACCAUAUUUCUUUAAAUAUGUUCCAGGAAAUGCCAUACUCAUGAACUGCUCUGUAAUGUAAUCCUUCAGACUGGAGCAAUUUAUAAGAUCUCUAGAACAAAAAAAGCUUUUUUCAGCAGGUACAGUUAAUCAGGAAGCGAGUACAUGCCACAUUAGCAUCCCCUAAGGGUUUCUCAUGCUCAGUGAGAGUACGGCCAGUUUGUUGUUUUGCUCAGAAAGCUGUCACAGGACAGACGUCCUCAUUAGAGCUCUAUUUUCACAUUCUCCGGAGUUCGGAGCAGAAGCUUUGCCAUCUCCCCUCCGAGACCUUUAUUGGUUGUACCCCAGGACAGGCUCGAAGGAAAACACUCGGCCCUACAGUCCAAAAAGUUCACAGUGUAAGAAGCAAUUCACACUAAGGACAAACCGUGAAAUGAAUUCUUAAAAGUGUUUUAUUAUCAUUUUCUAUUCAAGCCUCGUGCAGCAGGUAGACAUCUUUCUUUGACAUACAGCUCCUUGUGCCACCAUCAGUGUUAGAGCUCCAGGGACACAACUGCAAAUUGGUUUCCAAGUUUAUUUUAAGAACGGUUUAAUAAUUGGAGAAGGAAAUAUUAUCUUCAAAAUAGCUAAAUUUCUCAACGUUAAAGGUGAUGCAGCAAGACUGGCUCUAAUAGCACAGAAAGGAGAACAAAAUACCCUCGUGCAGAGAAGCUGCACACGGUCCAGCACCCACUGAAGUCACAGCUUUCUUCAUGCUGACUUCAUUAGCGGAUGAGGCCUCAGGGGAGCCAGAACAGCGAGAGGCUGAGGCUGGUCUCCUCUCCCAGCACACUGCACCCAGCACCACACGCUGCAGCAGGUAGCACACAAGGUCAACAGCAACCUUGCUGCAGCUCCUAACACCCAGCACUCCAUGAUAAACUUGGGCUGCCUGACAGCUCCAGCUAAUUGCCCAUCAGGGUGUAUUGACCCAGCACCAUGGGUAUAUAGACAGCAUUAAGCUCCCAAAAAGCAGCAGCGAAAGGAUGCGUUUGUCCUAAAUUUUGCACUUCCUUCUUUCUGCUGGAGCAGACUAAUUCUGGAGCAGGAUGACGAGUUACAUCAGGUUGGCACAGAAGGCAAUAGCCUCUCUGAACACAGACGGAGAUGCCUGCCAGGUGUCAGCAGAAUGCCACCAAAAGAGCAGAGCUGCUCCACCAGGGCCGCACCAGUGCCAUGCGGCUACAUGCUGUGGACAAGUGGAGCCUGUACAGACAUUCAGAUACAGUUCAUCUCAAACUGCUUCUAACUCCAACGAUAAGAGAAUAUAAAUACACUCACAAUAUACAUAAGCAAACCUAAUUUGUUUACAGUUAGCAGAGAAAGGUUUCUUAGUGUUUUUAUUAAGCUAUUCUUUUUUUAAAACAGUAUGAUUACUCAUUGCUCACUUGCAGCACUAAAAGGAAUUUGUAGAUCUUUUCUCAUAGAAGGAAAAUAUUAUCAGGUGACAAUAGAGCAAAACUGCACUGACAAGAAUGGAACAACCUGAGAUUACUUGAGCAAACAACCCAGCCUGCAGGGUCUUCUAUGCUUUCAGACUGAAAUUGAGGCAUAUUGUAUGCAUCUUCUUGGACCAAUUCGUUUAACACUACACCCAACCAUGCCCAACGCAGCAUGUAUGAGACUGAACCAUGCGAUGCUCUGAGCAUCUACGCAUCCUACAGUACCACAAAUCCAAAUUUACAUGUCAUUGGCACAGGAAGCAAGCCAGUGCUCUGAGACGUGUGUGAUUACAGGGAACCUAUACCACUCUGCUUGUCUAUUGCCUAUAGGAUAGACUUAAUCAUGCGUUCAUAUGGCUGUAACUGAACAUUAAGCCUCUGCAGCCAUACUGAUGCAACUCCCUACCACUGAAAUAUUUGCAGACCGGUUUAAUUAGCUUUGAAUGCAAAAUAAUUAUUACGCUGGCAUAAUCAUAAAAGGACAUAAUUAUUUGUGAACAACUUGUAAGAAGUUGAAGACUUUUCUGUAGAUGCUAAUAACGUAUCAUUAGCUAUUUUUUUCCCCUCUGCUUCUCUGUUAGUAGGCUGUGGGCUAACAAAUGGAACACACACAAAACAACCAGCAUCUGGUUUUCACAUGUUGAGUGACACCAGUUAAGUCACCUCUUGUCUCCUUUGUGGCUGUUGGUAACACCAAGGUUUUUUUCUAGCAAGAUAGGAGAAAUGCCAGUUUCCUAGUCAGUGUCUCAUUUCCCCACCUCUGAUACUUUUCCUCCUUAAUGCAGACUAAAAUAAAACAUCUCUUGCUCCAGUGUUAUACCCUGCCACGCACCCCACACAAACAGGUCUUCUUUUGCUCAGCACAUCUGAUCCUGACACUUGCAAUAGGUUUGCAUAUUUAGAAAUAACUAGCAAAAAUGAGCUCUUUUCUGUGUGAAUCUAACCAAUGUAAUUCUCCAGAGACAGGUGAGAAAGAAUGAAGACACAUUUGAAUGAACUUCCUCUGAAGCCCCAGAGGAAGAUUCCUCUUUUGUCACAACACGUUACAAUGCUGCAGAGAUGCACUACGGUGGCAGGACGUCUCAGAUGUCCUCAGAUCAGUAUCUCAUCCCUGCUAGCCCUGAACUUUUUAUUUUGGAAGAAGAAGUUCUGCAAGCAAAAGAAUCAGGGAGCUGCCUUUGUGCCAUCAGGAGAGCAACCAAUGACCCAGUUCUGCAAAGGAAGCUUCUCAGCAGAGCUGGGACGACUGAGCUGAUUCAGUCUCAGCCUGCCCUGCCGGUUCUCAGUACACGUGCUCUGACUCUUUACUAGUUAGCUAUGCACACACCCCUUCCCACCGUUUUUUUUCUUGUGACUAUUUUGUUUAAGGUUGUCACCUUCUUAUUACCUUCACAUUUCAAGGCAAUAAUAAAUCAAAAUUAAUAAAAUCUCUCAGAAUAAAAGUCUGCCUUCAAGACCGUA